CAAUAGCGUAUAUUAAAGUUGUUGCGGUAAAAAAGCUCGUAGUUGGAUUUCUACCGAAGAUAGCCGGUCGGGUCUUCGACCUUGUAUCUGGUUUUGUCUUUGGUAUCCUCAUAGGGAACGUUUCUGCGCUUUAUUGCGUGGUGCGGUAUCUAUGACUUUUACUUUGAGGAAAUUAGAGUGUUCACGGCAGGCAAACGCCUUGAAUAUAUUAGCAUGGAAUAAUAACAUAGGAUCUUUGUCCUAUUUUGUUGGUUUCUAGGGCUGAGAUAAUGAUUAAUAGGGAUAAUUGGGGGCAUCUGUAUCAACGCGUCAGAGGUGGAAUUCUUGGAUUGCGUUGCGACAAACUACUGCGAAAGCAUUUGCCAAGGAUGUUUUCAUUGA
rnacentral:rRNA from 1 species